rnacentral:rRNA from 1 species
GUGAGGAAUAUUGGUCAAUGGGCGGGAGCCUGAACCAGCCAAGUCGCGUGAAGGAAGAAGGAUCUAUGGUUCGUAAACUUCUUUUGCAGGGGAAUAAAGUGCAGGACGUGUCCUGUUUUGUAUGUACCCUGAGAAUAAGGAUCGGCUAACUCCGUGCCAGCAGCCGCGGUAAUACGGAGGAUCCGAGCGUUAUCCGGAUUUAUUGGGUUUAAAGGGUGCGUAGGUGGUUUGAUAAGUCAGCGGUGAAAGUUUGCAGCUUAACUGUAAAAAUGCCGUUGAAACUGUCGGACUUGAGUGUAAAUGAGGUAGGCGGAAUGCGUGGUGUAGCGGUGAAAUACAUAGAUAUCACGCAGAACUCCGAUUGCGAAGGCAGCUUACUAAGCUACAACUGACACUGAAGCACGAAAGCGUGGGGAUCAAACAGGAUUAGAAACCCCUGUAGUCC